rnacentral:misc_RNA from 1 species
GAUGAAGAACGUAGCGAAAUGCGAUAAGUAAUGUGAAUUGCAGAAUUCAGUGAAUCAUCGAAUCUUUGAACGCACAUUGCGCCCGCCAGUAUUCUGGCGGGCAUGCCUGUCUGAGCGUCAUUUCAACCCUCAUGCCCCUAGGGCCUGGUGUUGGGGAUCGGCCAAAGCCCGCGAGGGACGGCCGGCCCCUAAAUCUAGUGGCGGACCCGUCGUGGCCUCCUCUGCGAAGUAGUGAUAUUCCGCAUCGGAGAGCGACGAGCCCCUGCCGUUAAACCCCCAACUUUCCAAGGUUGACCUCAGAUCAGGUAGGAAUACCCGCUGAACUUAAGCAUAUCAAUAAGCGGAGGA